UGGCAUUAUAGGUAUGUGCCAUUGCACCCUGCUCCUACCGUUUGUUUGUUUAUUUAUUUAUUUUUUGGUACCAGGGAUUGAACCUAGGAGUGCUUAACCACCGAAGCACAUCCCCAGCCCUUUUUUAAAAUUUUGAGUUGCUGAGGCUGGCAUUGAAUUUGCAAUCCUGCCUCAGACUCUCAAGUCACUGGGAUUACAGGCAUGUGGCUUCCUACCUACUUAUUCUUGAAGGAAAAGCCUUUUUUAGGCUUUCACUGCCAGAGGGUCUUUUUUUCAUUCCUCAACUCUGCCACUGUAGUGCAAAAACAGCCUCAAAAAAAUCUGAGUAUGGCCAUGUUACAAUGAAACUUUACUAUAAUGAAACUUGAAUUUUAUGUAAUUUUCAUGUCAUGAAUUAUUUUAAAUUUUGCAAAUACUUAAAAAUCCUUGUAGCCAGGUACAGUGGUGCAUACCUGUAAUCCCAGUGGCUCAGGAGGCUGAGGCAGGAUUUCCAGUUCAAAGCCAGCCUCAGCAAAGGUGAAGCACUGAGCAACUCAAUGAGACCCUGCCUCUAAAUAAAAUACAAAAUAGGGCUGGGGAUGUGGCUCAGUGGUUGAGUGCCCCUGAAUUCAAUCCCUGGUACAAAAAAAAAAAAAAAUCUUAAACUGAGCCUGAUGACACAUCAUAGUCUCAGCUACUCAGGAAGCUGAAGCAGGAGGAUCACAUGUUCAAGGCCAUCCUGGGCAAUUUAGCCAAAGAGACCCUGACUCACAAUAAAAUAACAAGGGCUGUGAAUGUAGCCCAGUGGUAGAGCAUUUGCCUAGCACUGCAAGAGCCUGGGUUCAAUCCCUAGUACCAACAAAUGUUCACAGAAAAAUUCUUAACUUGUG
rnacentral:lncRNA from 1 species